rnacentral:rRNA from 1 species
UGCAGUCGAACGAUGAACCUCCUUCGGGAGGGGAUUAGUGGCGAACGGGUGAGUAACACGUGGGCAAUCUGCCCUUCACUCUGGGACAAGCCCUGGAAACGGGGUCUAAUACCGGAUAACACUGCGGAUCGCAUGGUCUGCGGUUAAAAGCUCCGGCGGUGAAGGAUGAGCCCGCGGCCUAUCAGCUAGUUGGUGGGGUAAUGGCCUACCAAGGCGACGACGGGUAGCCGGCCUGAGAGGGCGACCGGCCACACUGGGACUGAGACACGGCCCAGACUCCUACGGGAGGCAGCAGUGGGGAAUAUUGCACAAUGGGCGAAAGCCUGAUGCAGCGACGCCGCGUGAGGGAUGACGGCCUUCGGGUUGUAAACCUCUUUCAGCAGGGAAGAAGCGAAAGUGACGGUACCUGCAGAAGAAGCGCCGGCUAACUACGUGCCAGCAGCCGCGGUAAUACGUAGGGCGCAAGCGUUGUCCGGAAUUAUUGGGCGUAAAGAGCUCGUAGGCGGCUUGUCACGUCGGAUGUGAAAGCCCGGGGCUUAACCCCGGGUCUGCAUUCGAUACGGGCAGGCUAGAGUGUGGUAGGGGAGAUCGGAAUUCCUGGUGUAGCGGUGAAAUGCGCANAUAUCNNAGGAACACCGGUGGCGANNNNGGAUCUCUGGGNCAUUACUGACGCUGNNNGCGAAAGCGUGGGGANCGAACAGGAUUANAUACCCUGGNANUCCNCGCCGUAAACGU